rnacentral:rRNA from 1 species
AUACGGAGGGUGCAAGCGUUAUCCGGAAUCAUUGGGUUUAAAGGGUCCGCAGGCGGACUAAUAAGUCAGUGGUGAAAUCCUCUCGCUUAACGAGAGAACUGCCAUUGAAACUGUUAGUCUUGAAUUCGGUCGAAGUAGGCGGAAUGUGUCAUGUAGCGGUGAAAUGCAUAGAUAUGACACAGAACACCGAUAGCGAAGGCAGCUUACUAGACCUGGAUUGACGCUCAUGGACGAAAGCGUGGGGAGCGAACAGGAUUAGAUACCCUGGUAGUCC